GGCAAAGUAAAGCGGGGCAUUUUAUCAAAUAGCCCCCCCCAUCCCCUUCGUCCUCGCUGGAAAGCUGAGAGAGCACGAGAGCCUCGUGCUGUAGACGUCACACCGCACCACCAACGCACCUCCACCACAUGCUCCCCCUCCUCUUUAUCUUCCUGUGCAAACCCUAGCCCUCCUCUCUUCCUCCCUCAGCGCCGUCAUCUCCUUCCCCACUCCCCGUUCUCUUUUUCUCUGUGAACGAAACCAAGAGGAAACCCCACAGUACCUCCUCCACCCACCAUGGCGCCACCGCUACACACCACCCCUCGCCGUUCUGAGGGCACCGGGAGAUGCGCCUCUUCCUCCUCGUCAACCUGGUUCAAGGAAUCGAGCCGGGGCGCUCUGAAUCAAGCGCAAGGUCGCCGUUUCUCCUCCAUGGCCGCCAUGCUCCGGCGUCGAUUCCGGCCGCCCUCAUCCUCCUCCGGCCAAACCGAGGACAUCUCCGGCUUCCUUGUGUCCUCCCGCAUCCCCUACGCCAAGUUCCCCGUCUCGAUUCGCGUUGAAUCGCCGGAUUGAGUCGCCACUGGAUCUUCCCGCCAUGGCUGCUGCUCUCAAGCUCGUCCCCGCCUCCCACUUCUUCUUAUUCGAGUACACCAGUAAUGCUACAAGAUCUGAUCCGCAGCGCAGUGAUCUCAGGCAGCUAUGCUUCACCUUACGCGGAGGCUUUCCAAAAUCAAAAGCAGCAGUCAGCCCAGAUGGUUUGUUCCUUUGGUCAGCUCGUGGAGAUCCUGAGUUCAAUUCCCACCGCUGCAACUAAGCCCAUCUUUUUGUUCUGCUUCGGCCAGAUCCGGCGCCUGAUGGGCCUUGACCCAGAUCCACCGACCCAGCCUGUCUCCCCGUGCGCCCAGCUCUUAUCCGUCGCCACUUCCAGGCCAGAUCCGGCCCAGAAAUAUCGCAGGUUCAGCCCAGUUCGUCCCAGCCCCUUUUCUGUUUUCUGGAAAAUUGCAGAAUAUGAUAAAAUCUUGCAAAAAUCAUAUCUUCUGAACCGUAAUUCGAAAUCAAAUGUUUUAUAUAUGAAAAUUGUUCAGAAAAAUGUAAGGAACAUGAAUAUGACAUCCA